GGAUGGGCAUGCUGUGCCAGUGCCUCUGGGCCCGCGAAUGUUUCUGGGCACAUUUAAUUGACCUGCAUAUGAAGUCUACAGCAGCUGAGACACAUGAGCUACUUUGUGAAUAAUCCUGUGAAGCUUGUAUGAAACAGUUGCAAGAAGGAGAAGGAGGUCCAGCAAAGUGCUGCCAAUGCCCACACACUUCAGAACGAAACCUUAAGGCAGAUCUCCUGUGAGUCCAGCUCCUGGAACCCAUCAGCAGCCUCAUCUGCCAGCAAUUCAGCUCUUCAGCAGCAUACAACUGCACCCUGUUCCCUGCUGAAAGCUUUAAUAUUUGUAUCACUGAGCCAACAGCGGUUUGGUCUUGACAUAUAUACUUGCAGUUAUGUUGGAAUUUGACCUGAGCCUUCAUGUGACUUCUUGGCGACAACUGGAUAUUCUAAAGCCUUACAGAAGAACCCAUCUGUUUUUGAAGGUCAGGGAAAAGUUAUUGAAAUCACCUGUUUUUUCAUUUGUCUGUAUAUUGACUAAUGUAAAUCUCCUAAAUACUGAGACAAAAUGCUUUUGAAGGGGCACUAACUAGGUGAGAUUCUGAUUUCCUCUUAAACCUUUGCUAAAUAAUAAAGCCUGAAAGACCAGAAGCAUUAUUUUUACACUGGGAUGGUCUGAUAAAAGGCUAGAAUCAGGAAGAUAAGAGAAAACCUAACCAUGAUAGAAUUUGCUCUGAUGGCUCCAAAUGAUGUUUGCCUUUUGAUAAGUGUGUGUGAUCUUCAUUUGUUUGUUGAUCAAACCCUCAUGUGCCCAAGUGUGUAUAUUGGAAGCAGAACUAGUGCAGGUCGUCAUCAGUCACUAGACUCUAACAUGCAACCCAGGAUAUUUCUGAGUAUAUGCAUGGCCUAUCUCUCAAACAGCUGAUGAAUUGUCACUGUGUAAACUUUUGUGAGCAAUUUCAGAAUUUAUAGCAUCUAAAUGGAAGGCAAAUUGCUGCACAAAACAUUUAGCAGACAAAUUGGUCUAUGUUUCCAUACACAAAGCACACUUUGAAAGUCAUCUAUGGGUUGAUACUUGAUAAGCACACUGACACCAAAGAAAGUAGCAUAGAACUUCUGAGGGGAUGAUCUUUUAUUAUUAUCAUUAUUAACAGAACUUUGAAAGGAUAAUUUUUUUAUUAUUAUCAUUAUUAAAAACAGCCAUUAAUUAUUCUAUUCCUGGUUCUUCCAAUA